GGGUGCGAUCAUGCCAGCAUUAAUGCACUGGAUCCCAUCAGAACUCUGCAGUUAAGCGUGCUUGGGAUAGAGUGGUACUGGGAUGGGUGACCUCCCAGGAAGUCCUAGUGUUUCACACU
rnacentral:rRNA from 1 species